CAGUCGCCGCGGGAAUACGAGGGGGGCAAGCGUUGUUCGGAAUUACUGGGCGUAAAGCGUGCGCAGGCGGUUAUAUAAGACAGAUGUGAAAUCCCCGGGCUCAACCUGGGACCUGCAUUUGUGACUGUAUAGCUAGAGUACGGUAGAGGGGGAUGGAAUUCCGCGUGUAGCAGUGAAAUGCGUAGAUAUGCGGAGGAACACCGAUGGCGAAGGCAAUCCCCUGGACCUGUACUGACGCUCAUGCACGAAAGCGUGGGGAGCAAACAGGAUUAGAUACCCGAGUAGUCCCUGUCUCUUAUUC
rnacentral:rRNA from 1 species